rnacentral:rRNA from 1 species
UACGUAGGGGGCAAGCGUUGUCCGGAAUCAUUGGGCGUAAAGCGCGUGUAGGCGGCUCGAUAAGUCUGCUGUGAAAGUCCAGGGCUCAACCCUGGGAUGCCGGUGGAUACUGUCGAGCUCGAGUCCGGAAGAGGCGAGUGGAAUUCCUGGUGUAGCGGUGAAAUGCGCAGAUAUCAGGAGGAACACCAAUGGCGAAGGCAGCUCGCUGGGACGGUACUGACGCUGAGGCACGAAAGCCAGGGGAGCGAACGGG